rnacentral:rRNA from 1 species
GAGCUGAAUAUGCUCAGGCGCUUGAGAGAACUCGGGAGAAGGAACUCGGCAAAUUGACACCGUAACUUCGGAAGAAGGUGUGCCGUAGUACCGUGAGAGGAGAGACACCUUGAGCGGGAAACGGUCUCAGAGAAUAGGUGGCUGCGACUGUUUAUUAAAAACACAGCACUCUGCAAAGUCGAAAGACGACGUAUAGGGUGUGAUGCCUGCCCGGUGCUGGAAGAUUAAUUGAUGGGGUGAGAGCCCUUGAUCGAAGUCCCAGUAAACGGCGGCCGUAACUAUAACGGUCCUAAGGUAGCGAAAUUCCUUGUCGGGUAAGUUCCGACCUGCACGAAUGGCAUAACGAUGGCCACACUGUCUCCUCCCGAGACUCAGUGAAGUUGAAAUGUUUGUGAUGAUGCAAUCUACCCGCGGCUAGACGGAAAGACCCCAUGAACCUUUACUGCAGCUUUGCAUUGAACUGUGAACCGAUUUGUGUAGGAUAGGUGGGAGGCAGAGAAGAGGCCACGCCAGUGGCCUUGGAGCCGACCUUGAAAUACCACCCUGAUUUGUUUGCGGUUCUAACCACGGACAGUGAUCCUGUCUUGGGACCGUGCAUGGUAGGCAGUUUGACUGGGGCGGUCUCCUCCUAAAGGGUAACGGAGGAGUACGAAGGUACGCUAGGUACGGUCGGAAAUCGUGCUGAUAGUGCAAUGGCAAAAGCGUGCUUGACUGCGAGAGCAACAACUCGAGCAGAUGCGAAAGCAGGUCAUAGUGAUCCGGUGGCUCUGAAUGGAAGGGCCAUCGCUCAACGGAUAAAAGGUACUCUGGGGAUAACAGGCUGAUACCGCCCAAGAGUUCAUAUCGACGGCGGUGUUUGGCACCUCGAUGUCGGCUCAUCUCAUCCUGGGGCUGUAGUCGGUCCCAAGGGUAUGGCUGUUCGCCAUUUAAAGAGGUACGUGAGCUGGGUUUAAAACGUCGUGAGACAGUUUGGUCCCUAUCUGCCGUGGGCGUUGGAAGAUUGACGGGGGCUGCUCCUAGUACGAGAGGACCGGAGUGGACGCACCUCUGGUGUACCGGUUGUCACGCCAGUGGCAUUGCCGGGUAGCUAAGUGCGGAAGAGAUAACCGCUGAAAGCAUCUAAGCGGGAAACUUGCCUGAAGAUGAGUCUUCCCGGAGGUUGAACCUCCCUCAAGAGUCGUCCGAGACCAGGACGUCGAUAGGUCAGGUGUGUAAGCGCUGUAAGGCGUUGAGCUAACUGAUACUAAUUGCUCGUGAGGCUUGAUCCU